rnacentral:rRNA from 1 species
UACGAAGGGGGCUAGCGUUGUUCGGAUAUACUGGGCGUAAAGGGCUCGUAGGUGGCCAACUAAGUCGGACGUGAAAUCCCUCGGCUUAACCGGGGAACUGCGUCUGAUACUGGAUGGCUUGAGUUGGGAGAGGGAUGCGGAAUUCCAGGUGUAGCGGUGAAAUGCGUAGAUAUCGGGAGGAACACCAGUGGCGAAGGCGAUCAUCUGGGAUUAACCUGACGCUGAGGAGCGAAAGCCAGGGGAGCAAACGGG